rnacentral:rRNA from 1 species
UACGUAGGGUGCGAGCGUUGUCCGGAAUUAUUGGGCGUAAAGAGCUCGUAGGCGGUUUGUCGCGUCUGCCGUGAAAGUCCGGGCUCAACUCCGGAUCUGCGGUGGGUACGGGCAGACUAGAGUGAUGUAGGGGAGACUGGAAUUCCUGGUGUAGCGGUGAAAUGCGCAGAUAUCAGGAGGAACACCGAUGGCGAAGGCAGGUCUCUGGGCAUUAACUGACGCUGAGGAGCGAAAGCAUGGGGAGCGAACAGG